rnacentral:lncRNA from 1 species
AUUACCCGAGGAAACUUCAUUGCUAGGGAUGGAGGGCCCAGGCACAGGCCUUUGAGUUUUCCACCUUAACCCCUAAAAUGGCACAUUCUCCUUACCUUAAGAGUUUCCAUUUCUGUAGAGGAAUUUUUUUUAUAUUAGUUUAUUUCUAAAAUUUAGCAUCUUUGUAUGGGUGAGAUUUGCAAUUUGGAUCUCCAAAGUCUAUAGCCAUGGUCAGGACUUGUGUAGUAAAUCCAGAGCCACUUAAGGCUACAUAAUGAAGCUGAUUUUUGACUCUAUGGACAAGCCACAUGAAUAUUAUUUGUGUUACAAUUUUCUCUCGGGCUCAAAACAAUAAAAAGUAUAACAAAACUUCAGACAGCUAAUCUAGCACUACACAACUAGAGCUGGCCAUGAUGAUUUAAAGCUAGAACUUUUUCCACCAUCCAAGCUAUUGUCAUCUCUUACCUGGAUCACUGCAAUAGUUCCUAAUUUCUCUCCCUGCCACCCUUCAUUCUCCCUAACAGUCCAUCUUCCACAUAGGCAGAAUAAUCUUUUAAAAACUUAGGUAAAAAAUUUUAUUAAGAAAGUGAAAAGAUAACCCAGAGAAUGGGAGAAAGUUUUUGCAAAUCAUAUGUCUGAUAAGGGCCAAGUAUCCUGAAUAUAAAAAGAGCUCUUACAAUUCAACAAUAAAAAGACCAAUAACCCAAUAUAAAAAUGGGCAAAGGACUUAGACAUUUCUUCAAAGAAGGAUACAAAGAAAGAAAUGAAAGCAUAUAGUCAUACAAAACCUUCUACACAAAUGUUCAUAGCAACAUUAUUCAUAAAACUCAAAAAGUGGAACAGCCCAACUGUCCAUUUACAGAUGAAGGGAUGAACAAACUGUGGUCUAUACCUACAAUGGAAUAUUAUUCUGCCAUAAAAAGGAAUGAAGUACUGUUACAUACAACAUAAAUGACCUUGAAAUAUUAUGCUAAGCAAAAAAAGCCAGGCACAACAGGCUGUAUGACUCUAUUUAUAUAAAUGUCCAGAACAGGCAAAUCUGUAGAGAUGAAAAGCAGACUACUAUUUGCCAAGGGGAGUAACUGCUAACAGGUAUGAGAUUUCUUUUGGGGUGAUGGAAAUGUUCUGGAAUGAGUGGUAAUGGUUGUAUUCAUUAUGUCAUGCUAAAACCAAUACAUUGUAUAGUUAAAAUAAUAAAGUUUUUGUUGUGUGAAUUAUAUCUUAAUUUUAAAAAACACUAGUUGGGGAAAACACCCUUAGAUCA